rnacentral:sRNA from 2 species
GCAAUUACCUACCGUUUUUGCACCAGAAAGCCGUUGGUGACCCCUCACCGCGGCUUUCGCCU